UGGGGAAUAUUGCACAAUGGGCGCAAGCCUGAUGCAGCCAUGCCGCGUGUGUGAAGAAGGCCUUCGGGUUGUAAAGCACUUUCAGCGAGGAGGAAGGUGGUGAGCUUAAUACGCUCAUCAAUUGACGUUACUCGCAGAAGAAGCACCGGCUAACUCCGUGCCAGCAGCCGCGGUAAUACGGAGGGUGCAAGCGUUAAUCGGAAUUACUGGGCGUAAAGCGCACGCAGGCGGUUUGUUAAGUCAGAUGUGAAAAUCCCCGGGCUCAACCUGGGAGCUGCAUUUGAAACUGGCAAGCUAGAGUCUCGUAGAGGGGGGUAGAAUUCCAGGUGUAGCGGUGAAAUGCGUAGAGAUCUGGAGGAAUACCGGUGGCGAAGGCGGCCCCCUGGACGAAGACUGACGCUCAGGUGCGAAAAGCGUGGGGCAGCAAACAGGAUUAGAUACCCUGGUAGUCCAGCGCUGUAAACGAUGUCGAUUUGGAGGUUGUGCCCUUGAGGCGUGGCUUCCGGAGCUAACGCGUUAAAUCGACCGCCUGGGGAGUACGGCCGCAAGGUUAAAAACUCAAAUGAAUUGACGGGGUCAUAGCUGUUUCCU
rnacentral:rRNA from 1 species